rnacentral:rRNA from 1 species
CCUACGGGCGGCUGCAGUGGGGAAUAUUGGGCAAUGGGCGAAAGCCUGACCCAGCAACGCCGCGUGAAGGAAGAAGGCUUUCGGGUUGUAAACUUCUUUGACAGGGGAAGAGUAGAAGACGGUACCCUGAAAACAAGCCACGGCUAACUACGUGCCAGCAGCCGCGGUAAUACGUAGGUGGCAAGCGUUGUCCGGAUUUACUGGGUGUAAAGGGCGUGCAGCCGGGCUGACAAGUCAGAUGUGAAAACCAGGGGCUCAACCUCUGGAGUGCAUUUGAAACUGUUGGUCUUGAGUAUCGGAGAGGUAAGCGGAAUUCCUAGUGUAGCGGUGAAAUGCGUAGAUAUUAGGAAGAACAUCAGUGGCGAAGGCGGGUUACUGGACGACAACUGACGGUGAGGCGCGAAAGCGUGGGGAGCAAACAGGCUUAGAUACCCCGGUAGUC